rnacentral:rRNA from 1 species
UAACCGCGCCACAAGGGGUAAUCACGUUUAUUGGGCCUAAAGCAUCCGUAGCCGGCUUAAUUUGUCUCUGGUGAAAUCCUGCAGCAAACUGUAGGGCGUGCUGGAGAUACUGUUGGGCUUGGAACUGGGAGAGGAUAGGAGUACUGUACGGGUAAGGGUAAAAUCUUUUAAUCCAUACAGGACUACCUGUGGCGAAGGCGCCUAUCUGGAACGGGUUCGACGGUGAGGGAUGAAAGCGUAGGGAG